AGGGAUUGAGAUGGAUAUCAUCCCCUACAAGUUAAAAUUCACCCUCCAAUCCUUUUGAGAAGAGGUGGAACCCAACAAGGCUAAGGAGGUUUUAGCCCGUACACGGUUCAGCGGCCGUGGUGCAAGCGUGCAAUCCCAAAGUUUGCCGACUCUGGUCGUAAGUAUCAGUGAAGUUGGAUUUCGACGAGCGGUCGGCACCCACACACAGCGAACAAUUGCAGGUCGGCACCCAAACACGCAUUAUUUCCUCUAACUUUGCUCGCCAAGGAGCACCCAUCUCAUCUCAACCAACCCCACACGGCACAGGCAGGCUAUCCAUAAAAGAGCAUCAAUUUAACAAAUCUGCACAAUGAGUCUACGCAACGCACAACUUCCUGCCACGGCAGUCUCUGUGCCUUGUGUACACGGCCUAACAGACAGCGACAACCACAACUAAAACCAACAUUGUUUUGUUCCACCAAAUAAACAUGCUGUAAAUUCCUUUGGUCUUUCAAUUGUCUGUAGUAUAACUCACGGUGGCGCAUCAACAUUGUCGACCUCUGGACGCAUCGCCGACAAGGGAACCUGCAGGCAGAUAAGACUUUUGUUAGUAGCUGCUACUCUUGUAAAGGAAGAAGGGCAACACGAGCCUCUCCGAGUACUGGCAAAUAGGAGAGAGCCAUUUAACUUCAUCAAUGCAGGGGAAAGCAGCAAAACUGGUGGGUGUCGACAAAAAAAAAAUGUAGAAUUCAAAGUUAGCAUUGAACACAACCAGAUGUAGCAUGUUUUUCAUUUCGUUUUGUUCUGUAGGAAACCAGAUGUAGCAUCUUCUUUCUACGAGUCUAGGAACUUCCUUUUACAACAGUUGUACAAACAGUAUAUAUAAGCGCAAGUGUUCAAGCUACUCAAAUAUCACAGGUACAAUAUAGCUCUGUAUUUGACCGAUGUAUUACCACGAGAGCUCGUGGAUGAAGCAGGUGAACCUUUGAUUUCAUCUAUACACAUUGCAAAGUGGAAGGAAAAUAUUUAUAUGUAAAUUACAAGGUGUAAUUUAUUUUGGAAGAAAUAGUGAGGCACUAAUGUGUGGUCUAUAGCUAUAUCCUUGGAUGGCUAAUUAACGAAUGAUGGAUACAACACAUAAGAGAUGAAUGGCCAGGACAGUCCAAUAAAGCAUCUGCCAGAGGAGUCGCACAAUAAAAUACAAAGGAAACAAUGGACGACAAUCCAUCUCUGAGCCCGGGCUGAUUUGCGCCCGUGUUGAAUACAAAAAUCAAAAUAAAUACUAAAAAAAUCCAAAAAAAAUGGGUGAUAGACAAUUUGAUGCAUGAGGUCCGCUCCAAUUUUUUGAAUCAUUUGGACAUCUGAGCACCUCUUGGCAAAAAAGACAAAUUCGGGGUCCCUAAAAAAGUUUACUGUUUGUGCACUGUUUUGACCCGAUUUGUCUUUUUGCUGAGAGCUGCUCAGAUGUUCAAAUGAUACAAACAUUGGAGUGGACAUCACGCAUCAAAUUAUCUACCACCCCAAAAAAAAUUGGAAUUUUUUGAAUUUUUCUAGUAUUUGUUUUUAUUUUUUUUCUGACCAAGUGCAGAUGAGCCUGGGCACCGAAAUGCUGCACUCGACUGUGAAUGCAAUCUGAACCUAGAAAAAUAGAUUUCUAACCAACGGCCUGAAGGGAAGAUGUCAAUGAAAUUUACACAGAACAUGUAUUUGAGCAUUCUUCAACAGUUGAAGCCAUCAACCAUAGAGUACUUUGUAAGAUAUUACUGUGUAAUCAUUCAACAGCCAAACCAACAGCCAACAAAACAGCAGGCAUGAAGAUCAUGGUCACUAUAACUGAAAACUGAAGUAGAACCCACUGAGAAUACCCAAGAGAUGGGGAAAAAAAGAUUUCUAAAUAUAUGCAAAAAUUUCUUGAAAAGGAAUGCAUAUUUUAAUCUGUUCACCGUUUUUGUUCUAAAGUGACACUUGCAAAAAGCAAACAUUCCGGAAAUGAUACCGGAGUAGGGGCAGAUAACUAUGGUCCUCUCGUGGAGACUGAUACCUGGGUGCUCGUAUAUGGAUAACAUGUGGAAAGCUUAUGAAAACAUAAUUAUGCUGACGACAAGGUUCUCAACUUCUUGGUGGACGAAUACAAAGUUCCUAAUAACUAAUAACAGAGCACCUUAUCUUGAUGUCUCUGCUACAUAUUUUGUCAGAACCACAAUGAACCAUACCAUUUUCUGGCUGGUCAGAAAAGUCUGUAGUAACUGUAAAACAAUUGGCCAGUCAAUCUAAACAAAUCAAGAAGAGAGAAUAGCCAGAAUAUCACUAGUGGAAACCAUAAGUGCCAAAAUACCACUAUGAAAAACCGAAGUGCCAAAAUAGCACUCAAGUUCAAUUUUUUCAUACCUAAAUAGCAUUGCCUUCUAUUGUGAAACAUAUUCUGUUAGUCAAUGAUGGAUGGAGCUAUCAGUUUUUUCUACCUUGCCAAAAAUACCCUUCAUCUUUUCUCUGAGCAUGUGUGUUGCUGCCCGUUGCCAUGAGGCUAGCUUGUACCGGUCAAAGUGGUUGGUGAUUGUUUCGCCAACCCAAGCUUUAGUCACGGCUGUUGUACGCUGCAAGCCAGCCGCCCCACCAUUGUAUUCGUGUCGUUUCCAGCGACAUGGAGACACCGCUCUGCAGCAGCUGUGUGUCGCCUUGCCCACCCAGCUCCCCCCUGCAUCCAACCCAUCGCCGCCCCAACCUUUAUGUGGAGCACGGCCCCGUUCAUGUCGCCUCCCAUCCUCCAGAACCACAUGGGGAGCAUGGCCCAUUUGUGUGUUGCUUGUUGUUGCUUACCAUAAUACUGUAGGUAGCACCUGCUACUGCACCAUGUGGCUGCACGACGCCGUCGCCGCUUGCUAGUUGCUGAUGGUGUGAGGCACAACGGCCAACAUGGCUGAGGCAGCACAAUAGCGGUCGUGGCGGCCGACUGAGCUAGAGGUGGAUGGUUGCGCUGACCCCUUUCCCUUGUCCAGCGGCGAGCAUACAGUAAAGGGCAAAGUAGUAUUUUUACUCAUCGGCUAGUCUCAUUUAGCUCAUAAUGGUAUCUUGGCAUGAAUUUUUUUAAGUGAGUGCUAUUUUGGCAUAUUGGUUUUUCAUAGUGGUAUUUUGGCACUUGUGGUUUUCACUAGUGCUAGUUUGGCUAUUGGCUCAAUCAAGAAGGCAAUGAUCAACAUAUUCUAUCCUCAAAUGCAUCCAAACAAGGGAUGUACAAAAGAGGCAGAUUUGAACAGGAGUUGUGCAAAGGAAGGGCACAUAUCAAUGUAAAGUUGUGUGCACCAAACCUGACAAAAGUAUCAGAAGUUUAGAAGCCUCGGACAGGGCAAUGCAUCUCUCCCUAUUCCUAUUUAAUUUUCGAAUAUCCCCUACAUGGUUGGCUGCUAGCUGGUUGAAUGGACAAAAGGCGUCUUACAUGAGUUGCUGCUCUGAGCAAAACUGUUGUGUUUCGCUUGAUCAAACAAGAUACAGUCCAAACCUCUUUUGAACAAAUGACUUGGCGUAACUGCUAUCAAAUAAUCAUAUCUACCUGUUCGAAAGAAACUAACCAAAGAGAAGCAUCCAAACUAACAAAACUAAUUUUAUACCCAACAAAGUAAAAAUAAACUCAUGUGAGAGGCCAUGCAAUCACACUCGCGUAUGACAAAGUCUCUCAACAACCUACUGGCUUCAUUGGAGAGAUGAUAAAAGUGACAUCCAUGGUACAGUCAACAAAAUUAUCACACUUGAGAGAACAUAAAUGGCAUUAUCAUUCAUGGCUGACAUUUUGACUUGAAAGCAACAGCUUCUUAACUAAAAAAACUAGAACUGCAGAAAAAAUAAGAGUUGUUUUGAAUUC
rnacentral:lncRNA from 1 species